rnacentral:lncRNA from 1 species
GUUGGUUCGGGGAUCUUAUUUGAAAAAUUCAAAAAUAUUUCUUCACUCUCCAUUUAGAGUAGGCGUUUCAUAUACGUCUUUAAAAGAAAACUACAAAAAGAUUUUCCUUUAAUAGGUUCAAGUUUCAUUUUCACAUGAAAUUCAAAAAUCGAAAACCCAAAAAUAUUUUUCUUUGGUAAUCACAGGUUUCAUUUUGUAUAGAGAUUUAAACCUAAAAAAAAAAUGCAAAAAGAUUUU